rnacentral:rRNA from 1 species
UACGGGGGGGGCAAGCGUUGUUCAGAAUUACUGGGCGUAAAGGGCUCGUAGGUGGCCAACUAAGUCAGACGUGAAAUCCCCAGGCUCAACUUGGGAACUGCGUCUGAUACUGGAUGGCUUGAAUUCGGGAGAGGGAUGCAGAAUUCCAGGUGUAGCGGUGAAAUGCGCAGAUAUCAGGAAGAACACCCGUGGCGAAGGCGGCUCUCUGGUACGGAACUGACGCUGAGACGCGAAAGCGUGGGGAGCGAACAGG